rnacentral:lncRNA from 1 species
UUUUUCUAUUAGGUUUAAUACACCACAAACAGUAAUUUCACAGCAAUGCUAUUAAUAUAAAAUAAAACAAUAACUUGUACUCAAUACCUAGAAGCAGAACUUCAGAUCUAGAAGAAAUCUUAGACCACUUUCAACUUCACCAAAGAAAUAAAGAAGACUGGGUAUAUGUCCUCCAUUUUCCACAGACCACUCCCCAACACAUGCAUGCAUGCACACACACAAGCUCACACACGUACACACACACAAACACAAGCACUCGCAUGUACACACACAAACACUUAUGCACACACACUCACAUGUAAGCACAGGCGUGUGCUCGUGAACACAUACACGCACACAUGCAUGUAGACUUACCUGCCUCUGCAGCUGUCUCCAUUGCCUCUUGUGGUCUCAGAGAUAGAAGUGAUCUUCUCUCUCCCUGCACCAUUGACAGGGUCCCGCCUCCACCAUGUGCCCAAAGACCUUUCUUAUUCCAUACUCAACCCCUUUGGAACACCUUCCCCACCUGGGUUCCCUCCUCUGGCUCACUAUUCUCAGCACAUCCACUGCUUGAGUCGCUCCCUUUACAAACAAAACAAAACACUGAACCAAAACCACUUCCUUGGUCUCAUAUUGACCUUUAGUCCCAUUCCUUCCUUUCAUAGUGUGAGCGUCCUGGGGUUGCCAUAAGAAGUAUCACACACUGGGUGGCUUAAGCAACAGAAACUUCUUCUCUCCUAUUUCUGGAGGCCAGAAGUCCAAGACGAAGGUGUCAGCAGGGCUGGUUCUUCUAAAGGCUCGGAGGGAGAACCUGUCCCAGGCAUUUUCCCUAGGUUCUCACGGCUUGCUGGCAAUCUUUGGCGUUCCUUGGCUUAUAGAAGCAUCACCCCGAUCUCUGCCUUCAUCCUCACAUGGGCUCCUCCCUGUGUGUGCAUCUCUGUGUCCAAAUGUCCCCUACCACUAAUGAAUAAUGGAUAUCGAGGAGCCGUGGAAUGGAGGAUCACGGCGGCGUACGGAGCACCGGGGAGGAAUCGUGGGGUGCGUAGGCGCCGGAGCGCCCGGGUUCGGCCCGGACCGAAGGCUUGCGCGGUGAAGGUGUGGUGUCUGUGCUCCGGGGAAAGGGCUGUCUCCCCGGGGGACUGUUUCGCAGCGAGGCUUGUUUUGCUCGCAGCUGGGCGCUCCCUGGGGAGCGACUGAGCGCAAGGGCGGGCCGGGAGGCGCGAGGCGAGCACGAUGCUCCAGGGCCCCAAGGACUCGUGUGCGUGUGCGUGUGCAAAGUGGGGCGGUGCAGGGCGUGUGCACGGCACGGGCGA